rnacentral:rRNA from 1 species
UGAGGAAUAUUGGUCAAUGGGCGAGAGCCUGAACCAGCCAAGUCGCGUGAGGGAAGACGGUCCUAUGGAUUGUAAACCUCUUUUGCCGGGGAGCAAAAAGCGGUACGUGUACCGCAUCGAGAGUACCCGGAGAAAAAGCAUCGGCUAACUCCGUGCCAGCAGCCGCGGUAAUACGGAGGAUGCGAGCGUUAUCCGGAUUUAUUGGGUUUAAAGGGUGCGCAGGCGGCGAGUUAAGUCAGCGGUAAAAUUUCGGGGCUCAACCCCGACAAGCCGUUGAAACUGGCUUGCUAGAGUGGGCGAGAAGUAUGCGGAAUGCGUGGUGUAGCGGUGAAAUGCAUAGAUAUCACGCAGAACUCCGAUUGCGAAGGCAGCAUACCGGCGCCCAACUGACGCUCAGGCACGAAAGCGUGGGUAUCGAACA